UGGGGAAUAUUGGACAAUGGGGGCAACCCUGAUCCAGCCAUGCCGCGUGAGUGAUGAAGGCCUUCGGGUUGUAAAGCUCUUUUGGCGGGGACGAUGAUGACGGUACCCGCAGAAUAAGCCCCGGCUAACUUCGUGCCAGCAGCCGCGGUAAGACGAAGGGGGCAAGCGUUGUUCGGAAUUACUGGGCGUAAAGGGCGCGUAGGCUGUUUGCUUAGUCAGGCGUGAAAGCCCUGGGCUUAACCUGGGAUGUGCGCUUGAUACUGGCAGGCUUGAGUGUGGGAGAGGUCGGUGGAAUUCCUAGUGUAGAGGUGAAAUUCGUAGAUAUUGGGAAGAGCACCGGUGGCGAAGGCGGCCAACUGGACCACAACUGACGCUGAGGCGCGAAAGCGUGGGGAGCAA
rnacentral:rRNA from 1 species